rnacentral:lncRNA from 1 species
GUUAAACAAGUGCUUGAAGGCAGUAUGCUUGGUAAAAGUCAUCGCCAUUCUCUAAUCUUGAGUACCCAGGGACACGAUACACUGCGGAAGGCUGCAGGGACCUCUGCCCAGGAAAGCCAGGUGGUUUCCAAAAGGAAAAGCUUUGGGAGAUAGAAGUCCUCGUUUUGACCUCUGCCCUCCUUGUACACCAGGAGCCAGAAAAACUUCAUCUCUUUUACAAGAAACAUUGAGAUUCCUGUAAAAUUAAGAAAUCACACAAUUUGAUGGUCUACAUUAUCUAAAGCAAAUGAGACUUCUAUUUGGAACAAAGACUACCUUGUUGGGAAAUGAGUCUGCAAGUUAAAGUGUUUUCUGGAUCCAGUAUCUGCCGGAGGAGCCCCACCUUCUGCUACUAUUAUGUUCUUCAGAUGAGUAGAAGAGAGUGGGGAGGGAGAGAGCAGGAAGAAGAAAGGAAGAAUAAUGUCUUGAAAUUGGUAAAAGCGUUUUUGUUUGCACAUCCUGCAUUAUUAAUAUUUCUUGUUUAGCAUAAUUAGCUACCCUCUCAAGCUUACACACAACCUGCAGUGUUUAUGCCUUCCGAUGAUAGCUAAACCAUCAGCAAAGCAGUCCAGGUCCCUGAAGGCUGAAUGCAGGUGGUUCUGAAGGCUGCAGGAUGCAUUCAAAAAGCAGGAUACAUAAGCUUUAAUUGUUGCUAAAAAUACAUUCACUAGAAGAAUCGGACUCCUUCUAUCUGUCUGGAGUGGAUAAAAGCCAACUAUGGAUUCAGUAGUCUAAAGAAAGUCGCAGAAGAACAAAGAAAAGGUAGACAAAUGGGCCCAAAUGAACUUCAUUAAUGAGAAAAAAAGAUAACUAAUAUAAGACAAUACCACUUCUCUUUAUUCAAAUAAUUGGCAGUCAAUUUUACUUGGACAAUAACUAUGGCCUCAAAUGUGAUUUCAGGCUCAACAAAGCAGUGCAAUUUAAGGUCUAUCAUGCCUUGUUGUCAUGCUUCACGCAGCCUGGAAUAAGUAAUUCAAUACCCCUUACAGGAUCACCAGCUAUUAAACCAGGAUAAGAGCUUAGAGGCAGAAUUACACAUUCUAUGAUAUAUUAUUAUUAUAUAAUGUAUUAUUUGUAUUCUAUUAUUACAUGUAUACUUCAGUGGCCUGAGUUAAUAUUUUUCCACCAGCCACUAAUUCCAUACUCAAGAGUUAUUCAUGAAAGAAAAAAA